GGGUUGUGAGGUUAAGCGACUAAGCGUACACGGUGGAUGCCCUGGCAGUCAGAGGCGAUGAAGGACGUGCUAAUCUGCGAUAAGCGUCGGUAAGGUGAUAUGAACCGUUAUAACCGGCGAUUUCCGAAUGGGGAAACCCAGUGUGAUUCGUCACACUAUCAUUAACUGAAUCCAUAGGUUAAUGAGGCGAACCGGGGGAACUGAAACAUCUAAGUACCCCGAGGAAAAGAAAUCAACCGAGAUUCCCCCAGUAGCGGCGAGCGAACGGGGAGGAGCCCAGAGCCUGAAUCAGUGUGUGUGUUAGUGGAAGCGUCUGGAAAGGCGCGCGAUACAGGGUGACAGCCCCGUACACAAAAAUGCACAUGCUGUGAGCUCGAUGAGUAGGGCGGGACACGUGGUAUCCUGUCUGAAUAUGGGGGGACCAUCCUCCAAGGCUAAAUACUCCUGACUGACCGAUAGUGAACCAGUACCGUGAGGGAAAGGCGAAAAGAACCCCGGCGAGGGGAGUGAAAAAGAACCUGAAACCGUGUACGUACAAGCAGUGGGAGCACAGAGCAAUCUGUGUGACUGCGUACCUUUUGUAUAAUGGGUCAGCGACUUAUAUUCUGUAGCAAGGUUAACCGAAUAGGGGAGCCGAAGGGAAACCGAGUCUUAACUGGGCGUUAAGUUGCAGGGUAUAGACCCGAAACCCGGUGAUCUAGCCAUGGGCAGGUUGAAGGUUGGGUAACACUAACUGGAGGACCGAACCGACUAAUGUUGAAAAAUUAGCGGAUGACUUGUGGCUGGGGGUGAAAGGCCAAUCAAACCGGGAGAUAGCUGGUUCUCCCCGAAAGCUAUUUAGGUAGCGCCUCGUGAAUUCAUCUCCGGGGGUAGAGCACUGUUUCGGCAAGGGGGUCAUCCCGACUUACCAACCCGAUGCAAACUGCGAAUACCGGAGAAUGUUAUCACGGGAGACACACGGCGGGUGCUAACGUCCGUCGUGAAGAGGGAAACAACCCAGACCGCCAGCUAAGGUCCCAAAGUCAUGGUUAAGUGGGAAACGAUGUGGGAAGGCCCAGACAGCCAGGAUGUUGGCUUAGAAGCAGCCAUCAUUUAAAGAAAGCGUAAUAGCUCACUGGUCGAGUCGGCCUGCGCGGAAGAUGUAACGGGGCUAAACCAUGCACCGAAGCUGCGGCAGCGACGCUGAUGCGUUGUUGGGUAGGGGAGCGUUCUGUAAGCCUGUGAAGGUGUGCUGUGAGGCAUGCUGGAGGUAUCAGAAGUGCGAAUGCUGACAUAAGUAACGAUAAAGCGGGUGAAAAGCCCGCUCGCCGGAAGACCAAGGGUUCCUGUCCAACGUUAAUCGGGGCAGGGUGAGUCGACCCCUAAGGCGAGGCCGAAAGGCGUAGUCGAUGGGAAACAGGUUAAUAUUCCUGUACUUGGUGUUACUGCGAAGGGGGGACGGAGAAGGCUAUGUUGGCCGGGCGACGGUUGUCCCGGUUUAAGCGUGUAGGCUGGUUUUCCAGGCAAAUCCGGAAAACUAAGGCUGAGGCGUGAUGACGAGGCACUACGGUGCUGAAGCAACAAAUGCCCUGCUUCCAGGAAAAGCCUCUAAGCAUCAGGUAACAUCAAAUCGUACCCCAAACCGACACAGGUGGUCAGGUAGAGAAUACCAAGGCGCUUGAGAGAACUCGGGUGAAGGAACUAGGCAAAAUGGUGCCGUAACUUCGGGAGAAGGCACGCUGAUAUGUAGGUGAAGUCCCUCGCGGAUGGAGCUGAAAUCAGUCGAAGAUACCAGCUGGCUGCAACUGUUUAUUAAAAACACAGCACUGUGCAAACACGAAAGUGGACGUAUACGGUGUGACGCCUGCCCGGUGCCGGAAGGUUAAUUGAUGGGGUCAGCGCAAGCGAAGCUCUUGAUCGAAGCCCCGGUAAACGGCGGCCGUAACUAUAACGGUCCUAAGGUAGCGAAAUUCCUUGUCGGGUAAGUUCCGACCUGCACGAAUGGCGUAAUGAUGGCCAGGCUGUCUCCACCCGAGACUCAGUGAAAUUGAACUCGCUGUGAAGAUGCAGUGUACCCGCGGCAAGACGGAAAGACCCCGUGAACCUUUACUAUAGCUUGACACUGAACAUUGAGCCUUGAUGUGUAGGAUAGGUGGGAGGCUUUGAAGUGUGGACGCCAGUCUGCAUGGAGCCGACCUUGAAAUACCACCCUUUAAUGUUUGAUGUUCUAACGUUGACCCGUAAUCCGGGUUGCGGACAGUGUCUGGUGGGUAGUUUGACUGGGGCGGUCUCCUCCUAAAGAGUAACGGAGGAGCACGAAGGUUGGCUAAUCCUGGUCGGACAUCAGGAGGUUAGUGCAAUGGCAUAAGCCAGCUUGACUGCGAGCGUGACGGCGCGAGCAGGUGCGAAAGCAGGUCAUAGUGAUCCGGUGGUUCUGAAUGGAAGGGCCAUCGCUCAACGGAUAAAAGGUACUCCGGGGAUAACAGGCUGAUACCGCCCAAGAGUUCAUAUCGACGGCGGUGUUUGGCACCUCGAUGUCGGCUCAUCACAUCCUGGGGCUGAAGUAGGUCCCAAGGGUAUGGCUGUUCGCCAUUUAAAGUGGUACGCGAGCUGGGUUUAGAACGUCGUGAGACAGUUCGGUCCCUAUCUGCCGUGGGCGCUGGAGAACUGAGGGGGGCUGCUCCUAGUACGAGAGGACCGGAGUGGACGCAUCACUGGUGUUCGGGUUGUCAUGCCAAUGGCACUGCCCGGUAGCUAAAUGCGGAAGAGAUAAGUGCUGAAAGCAUCUAAGCACGAAACUUGCCCCGAGAUGAGUUCUCCCUGACUCCUUGAGAGUCCUGAAGGAACGUUGAAG
rnacentral:rRNA from 1 species